GGGAAUUGACACAGGAAGAGGACAGAAGCCGAAGCCUUCAGGCCGAAGCACGGCAAGCAGGGAGCGAAGGAGACCUCGAGGCACCUCCUCUAGAUGACUGACUCUUCCUUGUCCUCACAGCAGCCAAAUGAAUCCAGUUACCCUCAACCAACCAAUCCACUCUUCUGUAACAUUCUUAUUGGCUACAGGUAUGGCCUGUUAAAAUCAGGCCUGUUCCUAAUCCUUAAUAAUUGGCUCAGCUGCAACUCUUUAAGGAGGACAGACUGAAUUCACAGUGAAGCAAGUGC